GUUGUUGCGGUUAAAACGCUCGUAGUCGAUUCUUUCAUCGGGGGGAGAUCCGUCUCGUCUCGAUGCUAUGUUAACGCUGGGGGGAGGGGGUGGGGUUUCCCGCGAACCGAAACUUCAGCGAUGACAAGUUACCGUGAAAAAAUUAUGGUGUUCAAGGCAAGCACGGUGUGCUCUGGAUACAUUCGCAUGGGAUAACACCGAAAUGCCUCAGACCAUGGGUGCGCUGGAAGCACAAGGGACUGGGGUUAUCUAAUAGGAGCAGUCGGGGGUAGUCGUAUUCCAUCGCUAGGGGUGAAAUUCUUUGACCGAUGGAGGACGAACAAUAGCGAAAGCAUCUACCAAGAAUGUUUUCAUUGAUCAAGAACGAAAGUUGGGGGAGCAAAGACGAUUAGGUACCGUCGUAGUCCCAACCGUAAACAAUACCGACUAGGGGUUGGUGGACGUGUUUUCGAUAGCUCUAUCAGCACCUUAUGAGAAAUCACAAGUUUCUGGGUUCCGGGGGGAGUAUGGUCGCAAGGCUGGAACUUAAAGGAAUUGGCGGAAGGGCACCACAAGGCGUGGAGCUUGCGGCUUAAUUUGACACAACGCAGGGAAACUUACCAGGCCCGCACAUAGGGAGGAUUGACAGAUUGAUAGCUCUUUCUUGAUUCUAUGGGAGGUGGUGCAUGGCCGUUUCUAGCUCGUGGAGUGAUCUGUCUGGU
rnacentral:rRNA from 1 species